GACGAACGCUGGCGGCGUGCUUAACACAUGCAAGUCGAACGUGAUUUUUGUGGAAAUUCUUUCGGGAAUGGAAAUGAAAUGAAAGUGGCGAACGGGUGAGUAACACGUGAGCAACCUACCUUACACAGGGGGAUAGCCGUUGGAAACGACGAUUAAUACCGCAUGAGACCACAGAAUCGCAUGAUAUAGGGGUCAAAGAUUUAUCGGUGUAAGAAGGGCUCGCGUCUGAUUAGCUAGUUGGAAGGGUAAAGGCCUACCAAGGCGACGAUCAGUAGCCGGUCUGAGAGGUUGAACGGCCACAUUGGAACUGAGACACGGUCCAAACUCCUACGGGAGGCAGCAGUGGGGAAUAUUGCACAAUGGGGGGAACCCUGAUGCAGCGACGCCGCGUGAGCGAAGAAGGUUUUCGAAUCGUAAAGCUCUGUCCUAUGAGAAGAUAAUGACGGUAUCAUAGGAGGAAGCCCCGGCUAAAUACGUG
rnacentral:rRNA from 1 species